AUUGAACGCUGGCGGCAGGCUUAACACAUGCAAGUCGAACGCGUGGCGGACGGGGGAGUAAUACUUGGGAAUCUAGCUUCUGGAGGGGGAUAACUACGGGACACUGUAGCUAAUACCGCGUACCAUAGGAUGAGCCCAAGUGGGAUUAGUUAGUUGGUGAGGUAAAGGCGCACCAAGACGACGAUCUAGAGCUGGUCUGUGCGGAUGACCAGCCACACUGGGACUGAGACACGGCCCAGACUCCUACGCGAGGAAGCAGUGGAGAAUAUUGCGCAAUGGGGGCAACCUGACGCACCCAUGCCGCGUGAAUGAAGAAGGCCUUCGGGUUGUAAAGUUCUGUCGGUAGCGAGGCGUUAACUACAGAAGAAGCACCGGCUAACUCCGUGCCAGCCGCCGCGGUAAUUC
rnacentral:rRNA from 1 species